AAAGUCGUGAGGCGGAGCAAAACACAAAACACAGUCUCAGUUCAGAUUGUAGGCUGAAACUCGCCUGUAUGAAGUCGGAAUUGCUAGUAAUCGCGGAUCAGCAUGCCGCGGUGAAUACGUUCCCGGGCCUUGUACACACCGCCCGUCACACCAUGAGAGUCGAUAACACCCGAAGCCUGUAGUCUAACAGCAAUGAGGACGCAGUCGAAGGUGGGAUUGAUAAUUAGGGUGAAGUCGUAACAAGGUACC
rnacentral:rRNA from 1 species